UGGGAAUUUUGGACAAUGGGCGCAAGCCUGAUCCAGCCAUGCCGCGUGCGGGAAGAAGGCCUUCGGGUUGUAAACCGCUUUUGUCAGGGAAGAAAUCUUCUGAGUUAAUACCUCGGGAGGAUGACGGUACCUGAAGAAUAAGCACCGGCUAACUACGUGCCAGCAGCCGCGGUAAUACGUAGGGUGCAAGCGUUAAUCGGAAUUACUGGGCGUAAAGCGUGCGCAGGCGGUUUUGUAAGACAGAGGUGAAAUCCCCGGGCUCGACCUGGGAACUGCCUUUGUGACUGCAAGGCUUGAGUGCGGCAGAGGGGGAUGGAAUUCCGCGUGUAGCAGUGAAAUGCGUAGAUAUGCGGAGGAACACCGAUGGCGAAGGCAAUCCCUGGGCCUGCACUGACGCUCAUGCACGAAAAGCGUGGGGAGCAAACAGGAUUAGAUACCCUGGUAGUCCACGCCCUAAACGAUGUCAACUGGUUGUUGGGAAGGUUCCUUCUCAGUAACGUAGCUAACGCGUGAAAGUUGACCGCCUGGGGAGUACGGCCGCAAGGUUG
rnacentral:rRNA from 1 species